UGGGGAAUCUUGCGCAAUGCGCGAAAGCGUGACGCAGCAACGCCGCGCGGAGGAAGACGGCCUUCGGGUUGUAAACCCCUUUCAGGAGGGACGAAGGUCGGGCGGUUAAUAGCCGACCCGACUGACGGUACCUCCAGAAGAAGCCCCGGCUAACUACGUGCCAGCAGCCGCGGUAAUACGUAGGGGGCAAGCGUUGUCCGGAAUUAUUGGGCGUAAAGAGCGUGUAGGCGGUCCGGUAAGUCGGCUGUGAAAGUCCAGGGCUCAACCCUGGGAUGCCGGUCGAUACUGCCGGACUAGAGUUCGGAAGAGGCGAGUGGAAUUCCCGGUGUAGCGGUGAAAUGCGCAGAUAUCGGGAGGAACACCUAUGGCGAAGGCAGCUCGCUGGGACGUUACUGACGCUGAGACGCGAAAGCGUGGGGAGCAAACAGGAUUAGAUACCCUGGUAGUCCACGCCGUAAACGAUGGGCACUAGGUGUGGGAGGUGUCGACUCCUCCCGUGCCGGAGCUAACGCAUUAAGUGCCCCGCCUGGGGAGUACGGCCGCAAGGCUAA
rnacentral:rRNA from 1 species